GAUGAACGCUGGCGGCGUGCCUAAUACAUGCAAGUCGAGCGAACAGACGAGGAGCUUGCUCCUCUGACGUUAGCGGCGGACGGGUGAGUAACACGUGGAUAACCUACCUAUAAGACUGGGAUAACUUCGGGAAGCCGGAGCUAAUACCGGAUAAUAUAUUGAACCGCAUGGUUCAAUAGUGAAAGACGGUUUUGCUGUCACUUAUAGAUGGAUCCGCGCCGCAUUAGCUAGUUGGUAAGGUAACGGCUUACCAAGGCGACGAUGCGUAGCCGACCUGAGAGGGUGAUCGGCCACACUGGAACUGAGACACGGUCCAGACUCCUACGGGAGGCAGCAGUAGGGAAUCUUCCGCAAUGGGCGAAAGCCUGACGGAGCAACGCCGCGUGAGUGAUGAAGGUCUUCGGAUCGUAAAACUCUGUUGUUAGGGAAGAACAAAUGUGUAAGUAACUAUGCACGUCUUGACAGUACCUAAUCAGAAAGCCACGGCUAACUACGUG
rnacentral:rRNA from 1 species